GGUGUGGCUCAGUGAUAGAGCAUGUGCUUAGCAUGUUUAAGGACCUGGAUUCAAUUCCCAGCAGAGCACCA
rnacentral:tRNA from 1 species